rnacentral:rRNA from 1 species
GAUGAACGCUGGCGGCGUGCUUAACACAUGCAAGUCGAACGGUGAAGGCGGAGCUUGCUCUGCUGGAUCAGUGGCGAACGGGUGAGUAACACGUGAGCAAUCUGCCCCUGACUCUGGGAUAAGCGCUGGAAACGGCGUCUAAUACUGGAUACGAGCUGCGAAGGCAUCUUCAGCAGCUGGAAAGAAUUUCGGUCAGGGAUGGGCUCGCGGCCUAUCAGCUUGUUGGUGAGGUAAUGGCUCACCAAGGCGUCGACGGGUAGCCGGCCUGAGAGGGUGACCGGCCACACUGGGACUGAGACACGGCCCAGACUCCUACGGGAGGCAGCAGUGGGGAAUAUUGCACAAUGGGCGAAAGCCUGAUGCAGCAACGCCGCGUGAGGGACGACGGCCUUCGGGUUGUAAACCUCUUUUAGCAGGGAAGAAGCGAAAGUGACGGUACCUGCAGAAAAAGCGCCGGCUAACUACGU